GAUGAACGCUGGCGGCGUGCUUAACACAUGCAAGUCGAACGGAGAUUUAACGCUGACGAGACUUCGGUCAAAUCUUGUUAAAUCUUAGUGGCGGACGGGUGAGUAACGCGUGGGUAACCUGCCGUAUGCAGGGGGACAACAGUUGGAAACGACUGCUAAUACCGCAUAAGCGCACGUUCUCGCAUGAGAGAGUGUGAAAAGAGUUAUCGGCAUACGAUGGACCCGCGUUUGAUUAGAUAGUUGGUGAGGUAACGGCUCACCAAGUCGACGAUCAAUAGCCGGCCUGAGAGGGCAAUCGGCCACAUUGGGACUGAGACACGGCCCAAACUCC
rnacentral:rRNA from 1 species